UAGGGAAUAUUGCACAAUGGAGGGAACUCUGAUGCAGCGACGCCGCGUGAACGAAGAAGGCUUUCGAGUCGUAAAGUUCUUUUAUAUGGGAAGAUAAUGACGGUACCAUAAGAAAAAGCCCCGGCUAACUACGUGCCAGCAGCCGCGGUAAUACGUAGGGGGCUAGCGUUGUCCGGAAUCACCGGGCGUAAAGGGUUCGCAGGCGGAAAUGCAAGUCAGGUGUAAAAGGCAGUAGCUUAACUACUGUAAGCAUUUGAAACUGCAUAUCUUGAGAAGAGUAGAGGUAAGUGGAAUUUUUAGUGUAGCGGUGAAAUGCGUAGAUAUUAAAAAGAAUACCGGUGGCGAAGGCGACUUACUGGGCUCAUUCUGACGCUGAGGAACGAAAGCGUGGGUAGCAAACAGG
rnacentral:rRNA from 1 species